rnacentral:rRNA from 1 species
GACGAACGCUGGCGGCGUGCCUAAUACAUGCAAGUCGAACGCAGUUUCGAACGGGUGAGUAACGCGUCGGUAACUGCCUCAUUGCGGGGGAUAAAUAUUGGGAACGAUAGCUAAUACCGCCUGCGGUGGCAUGGACCUGCGUUGUAUUAGCUAGUUGGUGGGGUAAGGGCGCACCAGGGCGACGAUACAUAGCCGACCUGGGAGGGUGAUCGGCCACCACGGGACGGAGACACGGGCCAGACUCCUACGGGAGGCAGCAGUAGGGAAGCUUCGACUAUGGACGGAAGUCUGACCGGGCAACGCCGCGGGAGUGAAGAAGGUUUUCGGGUCGGAAAGCUCUGUUGUUAGAGGAGCGGUAACUAACCAAAAAGGAACGGCUAACUACGGGCCAGCCGCCGCGGUAAUUC